GUCGAGGGGCAUCAGGAAGAAAGCUUGCUUUCUUUGCUGGCGACCGGCGCACGGGUGAGUAACACGUAUCCAACCUGCCCUUUACUCGGGGAUAGCCUUUCGAAAGAAAGAUUAAUACCCGAUGGGAUAAUCAUUCCGCAUGGUUUGAUUAUUAAAGGAUUCCGGUAAAGGAUGGGGAUGCGUUCCAUUAGGUUGUUGGUGAGGUAACGGCCCACCAAGCCUUCGAUGGAUAGGGGUUCUGAGAGGAAGGUCCCCCACAUUGGAACUGAGACACGGUCCAAACUCCUACGGGAGGCAGCAGUGAGGAAUAUUGGUCAAUGGGCGAUGGCCUGAACCAGCCAAGUAGCGUGAAGGAUGACUGCCCUAUGGGUUGUAAACUUCUUUUAUAUUAGAAUAAAGUGCAGUAUGUAUACUGUUUUGUAUGUAUAAUAUGAAUAAGGAUCGGCUAACUCCGUGCCAGCAGCCGCGGUAAUACGGAGGAUCCGAGCGUUAUCCGGAUUUAUUGGGUUUAAAGGGAGCGUAGGUGGACUGGUAAGUCAGUUGUGAAAGUUUGCGGCCCAACCGUAAAAUUGCAGUUGAUACUGUCAGUCUUGAGUACAGUAGAGGUGGGCGGAAUUCGUGGUGUAGCGGUGAAAUGCUUAGAUAUCACGAAGACUCCGAUUGCGAAGGCAGCUCACUGGACUGCAACUGACACUGAUGCUCG
rnacentral:rRNA from 1 species